CGCCUCCUGCCCCCAUAAGAGGUCUAGCCUGCCCAGUGACCCAGUUCAACGGCCGCGGUAUCCUAACCGUGCGAAGGUAGCGUAAUCACUUGUCUUUUAAAUAAAGACUAGUAUGAAUGGCACCACGAGAACUAAGCUGUCUCCCCUUUCUAAUCAGUGAACCUAAUAUCCCCGUGAAGAAGCGAGGAUUCUCUAAUAAGACGAGAAGACCCUAUGGAGCUUUAAACAUCAUAAUUAUUUGCCCAGAUCUUAACCACCCCGGUCACAUUACUCUAACACACUAUAAUUAUAUGUUUUUGGUUGGGGUGACCGCGGAGAAUAACUCAUCCCCCGCGAUGAUAAAUACCCAAACAACAAGCCACAGCUUUAUGUACCAAUAAAUUGGCAUCAUUGACCCAAUAAAUUGACUAACGAACCAAGUUACCCUAGGGAUAACAGCGCAAUCCACUUCAAAAGCUCCUAUCGACAAGUGGGCUUACGACCUCGAUGUUGGAUCAGGGUAUCCUGGUGGUGCAGCCGCUACUAAGGGCUCGUUUGUUCAACGAUUAAAACCCC
rnacentral:rRNA from 1 species